rnacentral:rRNA from 1 species
CGGCGGACGGGUGAGUAACGCGUAGGAAUCUACCCAGUAGUGGGGGGACAACAUGGUGAAAACCAUGCUAAUACCGCAUACGCCCUAAGGGGGAAAGCGGGGGACCUUCGGGCCUCGCGCUAUUGGAUGAGCCUGCGUCGGAUUAGCUUGUUGGUGAGGUAAAGGCUCACCAAGGCGACGAUCCGUAGCUGGUCUGAGAGGAUGAUCAGCCACACUGGAACUGAGACACGGUCCAG